CAGCUCUCACACAUGGGAGUCCUACAGGGAGGAAUCUGGUGGUCCAACAUAGGGUUACAGUUGAAAUAAAAAACAGAUAAAAAUAAUCAAAGACAAAAGUAAGAUAUCAACACAGCUAUCAGGGCAUGGGGAGGAAGCAGUAGGAAGAUGUUUGCCUGGCCCUGAAAAUGUCCAAAACAAUGCAGGGUAAACACAUUUGUGGGCUUUAAUGUCACUACCAACAUUGGUCACAUCAGGACGGGUUCUCUCUGGUGUGAACACGUUGGUGGAUUUCUGUCUUUUUUUUAAAAAAUUUAUUUAUUUAAAAGGGACAAGGUACAGCUCAAACAUAAAUGUCACCAUUUGAUGCACGGUACCAGAUUAUAGCUUCACACACACACACACACACACACACACACACAGA